rnacentral:lncRNA from 1 species
GGAUCAUCCUCAGACCAUCGUAAGGAUGACUCAGGGGGGAAAAAAGAAGAUAAAGAUAACCACCGUGGUGUUUUUCAGUUGUUACGAGACACUUGGCUACCAGCUGUGAGGUUCCCCCCACAAGGAACCCGAAAUGCCCCCUUUGCGCCCGCAUGCUCAGCUGCCCGGGGGCCACACGCGGCAAGGAGAAAGCUGCAUGGAUGGCGGUUCGGUUCUCGUGGGUUGCUGGCUGCUCCCUGCCCCUUGGCGGCCCCGGGGGCCCAUUUGCUUGCUAAUUGCUCCUCUCGCAUCGAUUGGGCGGGGGCGUGGGGCGCCGCCGGCUCUAUUUCAGGGCGGACGGCGGCGCCGGGCACCUACCCUGUCCCAUCCCGAUCUUCUUGGACGCGCCGCUCCCUCCACCCCUGCCCCGCUCGUCCCGCGACGCUCCCCCACCUCUCUCCGCGGCCCAGCACAUGGCUGACGCGGGGUUCCCCGGGCCCGCUGCCUCUGCCGGGGGGGACCCCGCCACCGACGAGUUCCGCGACAUCAUCCGCAGCCGCUCCGGCGGUUUUGGGUCGCCUGAAUGUUCAAAGAAGAUUCGUUCUUACACUUUUUAUUUGUAUGAAGAAUGCAGGCUGUGCUUUUGGAAUGAGGGAUGCCAUGGGAAAAAAUGUAGUGGUUAUUAUGGGUUCAAUAUAUGCUUGUAAAGUGUUAAGAGCGAAAUGGGUGUAGGAAACUUGUUUUUAACUUAUGUGUAUGGUGUGGCUGGCUAAUAACCAGAAAUUCUGAUACAUCCUUAAGCAGUUUAAAUAUACAUUAAAUAUAUAAUAAUAAUACAUAUUAAAAGUUGACAGUAAGGAAAAGAUUCACAGAAACUAGGAACUAUGGCAAGUAUUUGUGGAGGUCAGCCAGUACUUUGGGAAGUGACUUUUUUAGUUUGAGUAUGUUCAUGGGCAGAAAGUCCUGAAUGCUGAGGGUGUAGCAAGGGAAGGCAUAGCAGAAAUAAACAAAAAAAAAAAGUGAAAGCUAAAAAAUUU